rnacentral:rRNA from 1 species
GACGAACGCUGGCGGCGUGCUUAACACAUGCAAGUCGAACGGGAUGAUUUAGAAGCUUGCUUUUAGAGAAUCUAGUGGCAAACGGGUGAGUAACACGUAGGCAACCUGCCGACAGGAUGGGGACAACAUUCCGAAAGGAAUGCUAAUACCGAAUGAAGCGGAGGAGAGGCAUCUCUCCUGCGUGAAAGAUGGCCUCUAUAUAUAAGCUAUCACCUGUCGAUGGGCCUGCGUCUGAUUAGCUGGUUGGUGAGGUAACGGCUCACCAAGGCGACGAUCAGUAGCCGGUCUGAGAGGAUGAACGGCCACAUUGGGACUGAGACACGGCCCAGACUCCUACGGGAGGCAGCAGUGGGGAAUCUUCCGCAAUGGGCGCAAGCCUGACGGAGCAACGCCGCGUGAGUGAAGAAGGUCUUCGGGUCGUAAAGCUCUGUUGAUGGGGACGAACGUGCGAAG